rnacentral:rRNA from 1 species
CCUACGGGAGGCUGCAGUGGGGAAUAUUGGACAAUGGGCGAAAGCCUGAUCCAGCCAUGCCGCGUGUGUGAAGAAGGCCUUCGGGUUGUAAAGCACUUUCAGUGGGGCAGAAAGCCUUGGGGCUAAUACCCUCGAGGAAGGACAUCACCCACAGAAGAAGCACCGGCUAACUCCGUGCCAGCAGCCGCGGUAAUACGGAGGGUGCGAGCGUUAAUCGGAAUUACUGGGCGUAAAGCGCGCGUAGGCGGUCUGAUAAGCCGGUUGUGAAAGCCCCGGGCUCAACCUGGGAACGGCAUCCGGAACUGGCAGGCUAGAGUGCAGGAGAGGAAGGUAGAAUUCCCGGUGUAGCGGUGAAAUGCGUAGAGAUCGGGAGGAAUACCAGUGGCGAAGGCGGCCUUCUGGACUGACACUGACGCUGAGGUGCGAAAGCGUGGGUAGCAAACAGGAUUAGAUACCCCAGUAGUC